rnacentral:lncRNA from 1 species
CAAUAAUCCACAGAUUCAUCUGCUUUGAGAAAGAGGAAGGAAGAAGGGUGGUGUCCAGCACGGGAGGAAGUGGUCUAGUGAGAGGAGGGCAGAUGGAGGAACCAGGCAGGAUGAAGUAAGGCCCAGCUCAGGAGAAGCUCAUCCCCUGAAAUCCACUGGAGAGAAAAUGGAAGGAGUCUGGACUUUGCAGAUUCAGCCCAUGCACUGAAAUAUUGCAUGCUUUGCAAUAUAAAGGAAAGAGAAACCUCAGGUAUCUGACUCUUGGACAUUUUGCAUCUGACGCUCUUUUCUACCAGAGGAAAAAGAGGUUUAUUACAAGCCAAGCCGUCUUGCCGUUUACUAACCACUGAAGAUUUAUUAUGGCGACGCGCCAGUGCUAAUGUACUCAAUUCAAGGGCUCCAGCCUUUUCCCUCCUCUGUUGUUUCUGGCAAAAAUUUAGAGCUUCUUCAUGCCCUGCCGUCAUAUCUUGAAAUUCAAGACUUCGCCGGAUGGAAUGGAAUGCCUGUGGAACAAGCGUAUGCCG